UCGAGAAUCUUCCGCAAUGGGCGCAAGCCUGACGGAGCGACGCCGCGUGCGGGAUGAAGGCCUUCGGGUUGUAAGCCGCUGUCAGAGAGGCGGAAAUGCAUGUGGGCAAUCCCAUGUGUUUGACCUAAUCUCAGAGGAAGCGCAGGCUAAGUUCGUGCCAGCAGCCGCGGUAACACGAACUGCGCGAACGUUAUUCGGAAUCACUGGGCUUAAAGAGUCCGUAGGCGGCUUGGAAGGUGGGGUGUGAAAUCCCACAGCUCAACUGUGGAACUGCGCUCCAAACCGUCAGGCUAGAGGGAGCCAGGGGUGAGCGGAACAGAUGGUGGAGCGGUGAAAUGCGUUGAUAUCAUCUGGAACACCGGUGGCGAAGGCGGCUCACUGGGGCUCUUCUGACGCUGAGGGACGAAAGCUAGGGGAGCGAACGGGAUUAGAUACCCGCGUAGUCC
rnacentral:rRNA from 1 species